rnacentral:rRNA from 1 species
CCUACGUGAGGCAGCAGUGGGGAAUAUUGCGCAAUGGGCGAAAGCCUGACGCAGCGACGCCGCGUGAGGGAUGAAGGUCUUCGGAUCGUAAACCUCUGUCAGCAGGGAAGAACGGUCACUGUGCUAAUCAGCAGUGAAUUGACGGUACCUGCAAAGGAAGCACCGGCUAACUCCGUGCCAGCAGCCGCGUUAAUACGGAGGGUGCGAGCGUUAAUCGGAAUUACUGGGCGUAAAGCGCUCGUAGGCGGUAUGUCAAGUCAAGGGUGAAAUCCCCGCGCUCAACGUGGGAACUGCCUUUGAAACUGGCAAACUGGAGUGUGUGAGAGGAUAGUGGAAGUCCAGGUGUAGGAGUGAAAUCCGUAGAUAUCUGGAGGAACAUCAGUGGCGAAGGCGACUAUCUGGCACAUAACUGACGCUGAGGAGCGAAAGCGUGGGUAGCAAACAGGAUUAGAUACCCGAGUAGUC